CCACUUUGACCGUGUUGCGUUGCUGAUUGGGCUGUAUGAAAAGUCACUAAACCGACGACCAGCGAUCCUUCCACAUGUGUUCAGAUUUUUUUGUGCCUCCCCCCCGUCAAAGUUGCCCAUCUCCGCUCUAACCUAACCUACUGCUGAGCUUUCAACUGGAAUAUCUGUUGGCUUUGUUUUCUGUUUUUGAACAACUAAUUGAUGGAUAUCGGUUCAAUUCCUUGAAUUCCAUUUUCUUUCUCUUUUUCCUUCUUCUGUGAACUCACUGGGCACGUCAGACUGUUUCUGUGUGAUGUAGUAGGAACUUGUAGUUUCCUACAGGCCAAUAAUCAACAUAGUUAAUUAUCACGUUUUAUUCACUAAACUACAUGACCAUAAUCCAUUGCGUAUCUACUUUGUCCAGUCUACAUUUCUUUUUCGGCCUGCUACUGAAGAGACAAGAAUGCGCGUGAGUGGAUAUAGAGAGCAGCUGUUGCUUCGUGAUUAAUCUCUACCUGGGAAAUACGUGAUCAAAGUGAUUGAUAGUUGGCAUUCAGCAGUCAUUAAAAGUAUGCCUUAUUUACUUAGAAGAACUACAACAGAGUUUUUGUCAGACAGCAUAACCAGCAGCUCUAUAGAGAUAAUAAUAAUAAAAAUAAUAAAGUCAUCAAAUAAAACAAAUUAUAUACGCAACUGAAAUAUGAUGAAGUAAAAUAAUGUAAAUAAUUGUUGGUUAAUCAGCAGUCAUCGGCAGUCACUAUGGGCAGUUAUGGGACUUUUACUGAUUUUUUUUUAUUCUGUGUUGUUACAAUAUUCAACUCAAAUAAUCAAAACCGAAAACCGAGAUAAAUAAUUAACCCCAAACCCGACUCAAAGCACUCAUUGCUCAGCACUACCUAUAGCAGAGCGCUUUCCCACACCCAGUUCAUUACCACAUGGGCCAUUCUAUCCAAAAUGAUUGGGAUGGUCCUACCCCAUUGAAUUUUACAUUUAAAAUGGUUAGGGUUAGGUAAGGGUUAAGGUUAGGGUAGGGAGGUGCCAAGGAUCCCGGACAGCACUGACUCUAUCCACACGCUCAUUGCUGUUACAGAAUUCAACCCAAAUAAUCAAAGCCUGAAUCGAAAACAAUGGUUUUUGUGUUUAUUAUAAUGAACCGAAACCCAACCCUGUCCACACGCCCAGUACUUAACUUUUCAACACACCCUCUUGACCAUAGUCCGGUCUCGGUAUCGAGCUGCAGCUCCCUACUUCUCAAUGCGAACGUGAGUAGAUUACCUUGAAAACAACGGUCGGACAUCUAGGAAGCAGUCUCCAGUUUGUAUUAUACCUCGGUGGUGUACACGGAACAAAUAUCGACCAGAUCUUGUCCGGACGACAACAACAACAACGUGUUAAAGGUGUAACCAAGGCUUUCAGAGAACACAGAGAAACAUGGCUACAGUCUUCAUCUGUUCCGUCUGUACCGAAGUCUUCGUUGGACAUAUAUCGCUGAGCUGCCAGCACACCUUCUGUAGACGUUGCCUCCAGAAGAGUAUGGACUUCGGUUGCGUUAUCUGUCCGGUGUGCGGGGAUCCAAUCACGUCGGAGAACAUCAGAGUCAACAGAAUACUAAGGGACAUGGCAGAUGAAGUGAGACAGAGAAGAGUUGAUCUCAGAGUGUUGAAGAGGAAUGAGGACAUUGAUGUGAAUAACUGGGAAACCGACGAGAAGAAGAAGAAGAAGAAGGAGAAUGUGAAAACAUCAAAGUCCUUGGUGAAGGAAGGCCUGGCUGCCAGAAAGACAGAGAGGAAGUUAAAGUCGUCUCUGACCACUGGUCCCUGGGAGGGUAUACUUUUUGGCAUUAUGGCCUUUUAUUGCUUUAUUUCUGUGCUUACUUAUGUUGUCCUUCCUUGUGUGGAAUAUGUGUCUGUAACAACGUCAGGAAAUGCAGCCAAGGUGUUCGGAUCCCCUUUGGUGUUCAUGUCUAUGUUUGUGGUCUUCGGUGUUGUUGCUCAUUUGGUGGAUUUUGUGUUGAAAAAGAUUAUAUAAAACAGAUUUUAAGUCAGUAAUAACUGAUUGAUUGGUUUUAUGCGGUGUUGGAGAGUCAUUGGAUGUAGCGAACUUCCUUUCCCAGCAGUUUGGUGAUAGUUGAACAACUUUUUUGAAAUGAAUUAUCUUAUUGAGUUGACUUACAUCUGCAGGUUUAUGCCCAGUUUAUUGAUGCUAUGAUAAGUGCAGUAGAUUUUUGUUGUAAAAUGAAUGUUGUGAAGUAUGCUUUAAACUGCGAACUGAUUAUAUGGAAGAAAAGGAGUGUAUUUUGUUGUAAAACUUUUUCCUGUAAAUUUACCAACAUUAUACUGUAAUUUUGCUUUACAGCAGAGAUGCUGUAAUAUAUUUUACAGUUCCUCUUUUCCAUACUAUAAAACACAUUACAGAAUACAGCAUCCCUGCUUUAAAUUUACAGCUGUAAGGUUUUUACAGUAGUAGUAGUAUUCAAUGUCGGGAUUCGUGUCUCCACAACUGCAGUGGGGUUGCCAACAAUAUUAUUUGAAAUGUUUUAUAUUAUUAUUUAGUGUUAUUAUUUUUUUAUUUAAACAAUAUAGAAACAUUUUUGAGAAAAAUGGGUUCCCUGCUGAAAAAGUUUAAAUACCACUGUUUUACAGUAAGGAAAAUACUACUGUAAAAUAUAUUACAGCAUACCAGCUGUAAAGCAAAAUUACAGUAUUUAAGCUGGCUACUCUGGUGCCAUUACAAUGCUGAAUAUUUACAGUGAAAUUCUACCUGAAAUCUAAAUACAAAGAAAUAUAUACAUAUGUACAUAAAAUACAUGUAUUCAAAUAGCUGACAACAUUAACUACAAAUGAACAACAUAAUUGACAAUAGAAGUAACAACAGUUAUCAAAUAUGUAACCAACGUAAGCAUCAUUACAACACUAAUUAAAAAUUAUAUUGUGUGGCUGUGUGUGGGUGGGGUGGGGGGGUUGAGAUCAAAUUGGGAUUGGGUACAAUCCUAGAUCUAUGAUCAGGGGCAACUCUAUUUAGGGUAAGGGGGUUCAGAGGCGGUGAAACGGGACAGUUUGGUCAGGAGAGCAUCCAGGACAGAGAGAAGUCAGCAUCAUGUGUUCCUCAUGGGGCUCCGUAAACAAACCUCCUCGCGUUCUGAUUGGUCAGCUCUUCUCAACCCUAGGACAAGCAUAGAAAGAGAAAGACUAGAAUGAGCACCAUGGCUGUUACUCUGUGGGUAAAUAGAGAGACAGACAGCACCGGGGGCUGUUACUCUGUGGGUAAAUAGAGAGACAGACAGCACCGGGGGCUGUUACUCUGUGGGUAAAUAGAGAGACAGACAGCACCAGGGGCUGUUACUCUGUGGGUAAAUAGAGAGACAGACAGCACCGGGGGCUGUUACUCUGUGGGUAAAUAGAGAGACAGACAGCACCGUGGGCUGUUACUCUGUGGGUAAAUAGAGAGACAGACAGCACCAGGGGCUGUUACUCUCUGGGUAAAUAGAGAGACAGCAACAGGGGCUGUUACUCUGUGGGUAAAUAGACAGAGGACAAGGGACAUAUCAAGCUGGUGUUGUGUCUACGUACUUAACUACAAAUCUACAGUAGGCAUAAGCUAUUACUGUAAAGAAAUGAUACAGAAUGACGUGAGGAUUUCCUCCAGGAGGCUUCCAAUUACAGUAAAUAACAGUAUUUUUCAGCAUUUUACCCAUAAUGCAGUGCAAUCUAUAACAUUAUUGCUCUAAGACACAUGUAUGGUAUUUUACUGUGCCUUCUACAGUGUUUUAAUGUUGACAUGACAGUCUUACACUACAUAGCUUUUCUCCAUUUGAGAAGACACUAACCUAUUUGUAUUGAAAUGUAAUAAAAAUAUAAUUCUGUUA